rnacentral:rRNA from 1 species
AGUGAACGCUGGCGGUAGGCCUAACACAUGCAAGUCGAACGGCAGCACAGUAAGAGCUUGCUCUUACGGGUGGCGAGUGGCGGACGGGUGAGGAAUACAUCGGAAUCUACUUUUUCGUGGGGGAUAACGUAGGGAAACUUACGCUAAUACCGCAUACGACCUACGGGUGAAAGCAGGGGAUCUUCGGACCUUGCGCGAUUGAAUGAGCCGAUGUCGGAUUAGCUAGUUGGCGGGGUAAAGGCCCACCAAGGCGACGAUCCGUAGCUGGUCUGAGAGGAUGACCAGCCACACUGGAACUGAGACACGGUCCAGACUCCUACGGGAGGCAGCAGUGGGGAAUAUUGGACAAUGGGCGCAAGCCUGAUCCAGCCAUACCGCGUGUGUGAAGAAGGCCUUCGGGUUGUAAAGCCCUUUUGGUGGGAAAGAAAAGCAGCAGGUUAAUACCCCGCUGUUCUGACGGUACCCAAAGAAUAAGCACCGGCUAACUUCGUG